CCCUUCAUCAUGGAGUAAGUGGUUCACAUUAGAGAAAAGAUAGAAAGCAACUGAACUGGAAGGAAUCAUGUUGCAGAGAUCUUCUCUUCAUUCUUUCCACUGUCUGAGUGCAACUGCCCCUUAGGUCCCCCAGGGGGCUAAGCUACAAGCUACAUGAGAGGGAGGGAUUCCGACAGCAGGAUAUUGGAGGUGGGGGGAUGGAAAUAGCUGCGUACUGAACAGUCUCGCUCUUCUCUGCAGGUGUUAUGGCCAAGGCUUCUCGAAUAUGUGGUGCCAGUUCAGUACACUGGUACUUUGAAGACUCUCUGCAGAUGCCUUAGGGAGCUGGCUGAGAAAAAGCAGCAGGAAGGAGAAGAAGCUGCUUGCCUUGACUACGGUGGACCAGUGAAACUCCCUACACCCCAGGGGCUGCUGGCACGACUCCUGGUAGUAGCCUCGUC